rnacentral:rRNA from 1 species
CAGUCGCCGCGGGGAAUACGUAGGGUGCAAGCGUUAAUCGGAAUUACUGGGCGUAAAGCGUGCGUAGGUGGUGGUUUAAGUCCGUUGUGAAAGCCCUGGGCUCAACCUGGGAAUUGCAGUGGAUACUGGGUCACUAGAGUGUGGUAGAGGAUAGUGGAAUUUCCGGUGUAGCAGUGAAAUGCGUAGAGAUCGGAAGGAACAUCUGUGGCGAAGGCGACUAUCUGGGCCAACACUGACACUGAGGCACGAAAGCGUGGGGAGCAAACAGGAUUAGAUACCCCAGUAGUCCCUGUCUCUUAUA